GACGAACGCUGGCGGCGUGCCUAAUACAUGCAAGUCGAGCGGACUGAUUAAGAGCUUGCUCUUAUGACGUUAGCGGCGGACGGGUGAGUAACACGUGGGCAACCUGCCCUGUAGAUCGGGAUAACACCGAGAAAUCGGUGCUAAUACCGGGUAAUAUCUGAGAUCACAUGAUCUUAGGUUAAAAGAUGGCUCCGGCUAUCACUACAGGAUGGGCCCGCGGCGCAUUAGCUAGUUGGUAAGGUAAUGGCUUACCAAGGCGACGAUGCGUAGCCGACCUGAGAGGGUGAUCGGCCACCCUGGGACUGGGACCCGGCCCAGACUCCUACGGGAGGCAGCAGUAGGGAAUCUUCCGCCAUGGACGAAAGUCUGACGGAGCAACGCCGCGUGAGUGAUGAAGGGUUUCGGCCCGUAAAGCUCUGUUGUUAGGGAAGAAACAGUACCGAACGAACUAGGUCGGUACCUUGACGGUACCGAACCAGAAAGCCACGGCUAACUACGU
rnacentral:rRNA from 1 species